UAUAUCCUUAAUUUUCUUAUGUUGGUUCUCCAUGAUUUUGCUUCUAAAUAAGGAUAUACGUACUUUUGUUAUCUAACCAAAAAUGAUUAUAUAUAAUUGUUACUUAUAUUGCCAUGAUGUUGAUUGUUAUCAGAAUGCAAAAAUUAGCUCAGGAACAAAAUGACAAGAUUGAAAAAGUGAACCAUGAAAGAAAAUUUCAUUAAGUAAGUAGCAUCCCCGUAAUUCAUACUAUAAUAAUAGGGUAGAAGUCAAUUAGCAUCCCUGUAUUUAGUAUUACAGGUAGAAGUUGAGCACAAGGAGAAGGAAGAUUCUGAGGAAGUAUAUGAACAAGAACUUGGGGAUGAAUCUGAUGAUAAGGGAGAUAAACCUAGCGUUUGUAUUCAGUGACCUUUCUUAUACAUAAAUCUAAUUUUCUGCAUGUCUUGUUGUUUUCCAUUUGAGCUAAGCGAGACUAACACUUUUUUAUUUUGUUGUCAAAUUCUGUUAGAGGAAAAGGCACUCAAGGUAUUAUUGAGAUUGAAAAUUCUAACUUGCUCAAGCCAAAGACCUUGAAAGCUAGUGAUAUUGAUGGAAGAGAUAGAGAAACAAAAGGCUCACGAACGAUUCAUGAGGCUUCAAGAACAAGAAAAAUGCACUUCGAUAAUUGAUACAAGAAAUUCAUACUCACGGCUUGAAUUGGAUGAAGUAAGAGUAGUGGACUGAAUUUUUAGCUUGGUACAUAUGGUAGACACACCUAAAUAUGAUCUUGUUACUUUUGUAAAUGGCUAACAUAUGGGAAUGCCCAUAACCUUUUUUGUGUAAAUGUUUUGUUCAUAGUCAUUAUGCUUAUAUGAGGCAAUAGAUGUAAGGGGAUAGACUUUAGUUUUGAUUUUGGAAUAGACCACAAAUAGGAAAUUUUAGUUGGCUAUAUUUGGAUUGGAACUAUGUAAUUGUUGUUGAUAUU